rnacentral:rRNA from 1 species
CAGCAGCCGCGGUAAUACAGAGGGUGCAAGCGUUAAUCGGAAUUACUGGGCGUAAAGCGCGCGUAGGUGGUUCGUUAAGUCUGAUGUGAAAUCCCCGGGCUCAACCUGGGAACUGCAUUCAAAACUGACGAGCUAGAGUAUGGUAGAGGGUGGUGGAAUUUCCUGUGUAGCGGUGAAAUGCGUAGAUAUAGGAAGGAACACC